rnacentral:rRNA from 1 species
GGCAGCCUAACACAUGCAAGUCGAGCGGAUGAAGGGAGCUUGCUUCUGAUUCAGCGGCGGACGGGUGAGUAAUGCCUAGGAAUCUGCCCGAUAGUGGGGGACAACGUUUCGAAAGGAACGCUAAUACCGCAUACGUCCUACGGGAGAAAGUGGGGGAUCUUCGGACCUCACGCUAUCGGAUGAGCCUAGGUCGGAUUAGCUAGUUGGUGAGGUAAUGGCUCACCAAGGCGACGAUCCGUAACUGGUCUGAGAGGAUGAUCAGUCACACUGGAACUGAGACACGGUCCAGCCUCCUACGGGAGGCAGCAGUGGGGAAUAUUGGACAAUGGGCGAAAGCCUGAUCCAGCCAUGCCGCGUGUGUGAAGAAGGUCUUCGGAUUGUAAAGCACUUUAAGUUGGGAGGAAGGGCUGUCGGCUAAUACCCUGCAGUUUUGACGUUACCAACAGAAUAAGCACCGGCUAACUUCGUGCCAGCAGCCGCGGUAAUACGAAGGGUGCAAGCGUUAAUCGGAAUUACUGGGCGUAAAGCGCGCGUAGGUGGUUCAGCAAGUUGGAUGUGAAAGCCCCGGGCUCAACCUGGGAACUGCAUCCAAAACUACUGGGCUAGAGUACGGUAGAGGGUGGUGGAAUUUCCUGUGUAGCGGUGAAAUGCGUAGAUAUAGGAAGGAACACCAGUGGCGAAGGCGACCACCUGGACUGAUACUGACACUGAGGUGCGAAAGCGUGGGGAGCAAACAGGAUUAGAUACCCUGGUAGUCCACGCCGUAAACGAUGUCAACUAGCUGUUGGGUUCCUUGAGAACUUAGUAGCGCAGCUAACGCGAUAAGUUGACCGCCUGGGGAGUACGGCCGCAAGGUUAAAACUCAAAUGAAUUGACGG